AACGAACGCUGGCGGCAGGCUUAACACAUGCAAGUCGAGCGCCCCGCAAGGGGAGCGGCAGACGGGUGAGUAACGCGUGGGAAUCUACCCAUCUCUACGGAAUAACGCAUGGAAACGUGUGCUAAUACCGUAUACGUCCUUCGGGAGAAAGAUUUAUCGGAGAUGGAUGAGCCCGCGUUGGAUUGGCCAGUUGGUGGGGUAAAGGCCUACCAAGGCGACGAUCCAUAGCUGGUCUGAGAGGAUGAUCAGCCACACUGGGACUGAGACACGGCCCAGACUCCUACGGGAGGCAGCAGUGGGGAAUACUGGACAAUGGGCGCAAGCCUGAUCCAGCCAUGCCGCGUGAGUGAUGAAGGCCCUAGGGUUGUAAAGCUCUUUCACCGGUGAAGAUAAUGACGGUAACCGGAGAAGAAGCCCCGGCUAACUUCGUGCCAGCCGCCGCCGUAAGAC
rnacentral:rRNA from 1 species